GGGAAUGUGGCUUAGUGGUAAAGUACUUGCCUAGCAUGCAUGAAGCCCUGGGUUCAAUUCCUCAAUACUA
rnacentral:tRNA from 1 species